rnacentral:rRNA from 1 species
CCUACGGGUGGCAGCAGUGAGGAAUAUUGGUCAAUGGGAGAGAUCCUGAACCAGCCAAGCCGCGUGAGGGAAGACGGCCCUAUGGGUUGUAAACCUCUUUUGUCGGAGAACAAAACCCGGGACGUGUCCCGGACUGCGUGUAUCCGAAGAAAAAGCAUCGGCUAACUCCGUGCCAGCAGCCGCGGUAAUACGGAGGAUGCGAGGGUUAUCCGGAUUUAUUGGGUUUAAGGGGUGGGUAGGCGGUCCGUUAAGUCAGCGGGAAAAUUGCGGGGUUCAACCCCGUCGAGCCGUUGAAACUGGCAGACUUGAGUUGGCGAGAAGUACGCGGAAUGCGCGGUGUAGCGGUGAAAUGCAUAGAUAUCGCGCAGAACACCGAUUGCGAAGGCAGCGUACCGGCGCCAGACUGACGCUGAGGCACGAAAGCGUGGGGAUCGAACAGGAUUAGAUACCCGAGUAGUC